rnacentral:lncRNA from 1 species
CCUGAACCUCAAAAGUGGCAAAACUAGUUUUUACCUCUGUUGCUCCUUGUCUUGCUAAACUCCAUAGGCUCUCUUCCCAUUUUCCCAAACUCCCACAUUUUUCUGAGGAGCGCCCCCCCGCCCCCCCAGGAAGCUGAGAGAGGGUGUAGUAGCUUCAGCCAGAGGACAAACUGUGAGCAUCAGAGAGGAAGACAAGUUCUGCUGACCAGGGGGCACUCAGCAAGGCAGGGGCUGAAGACAGUGCUGUGCUUUAAAGAGAAUUUGUGUUUCACAGCCACUGAGGUCCUGAGUUAGACACCUCGUUCUGUUAUAGGAGAACUGUCCCCACAGGGGCACCGGAGAGGCUCAGUCCCUUAAGCAUCCGGCUCUUGAUUUUGGCUCAUGAUCUCCUGGUUGUAUAAUGCAACCUGAGAUAUUAGAACCAAAUUCAUCCCUGGAAGAAAAAAAUAGCCUCACUAUGCACAUAGGUUGAAGAUCUGUACUGAAUGUGGACAAAGUUGCAUAUUCCUUAUCAAGUGGCAUUGGCAAGGAGAAUGGAAGACAAGGAGAUGAAACGGCAGUACCUGUACCUUAUCCUCAUACAGAAAGGGUGGGGUAGGCUACAUGAGAACACUAAGCAAUGCCAGGCUUGCCAGAAGUCAAGUGCAGAUGGAAAUGGAUGACAUAUGAUAAGCAGUUUCCGGGGCACUCAUUGUAUUUAUCAUGGAACACUGACAGAAUGAUUUCAGAACAAUUAACAACUGGCAAAGGAAGACUAAGCCAUCAGUUGGCAGAAGAAAGUGAAAGGGGCACUUUGUGACAGCACCUGUGAUUCUAUCCUUUACUGAAGUCUGUCCCACAAUCCCACAUCUGGAGAUCUAAUAGAAUAAGCCACACUCAAUUGCCACAGUAAGUAUUCAGAGAGGUUGAACACUGAAACUAAACAGCAGCUCUGGCAGCAGGCACUAGAUUAACAUGGCUAUUUUGUUUCUGUCUCAG